rnacentral:rRNA from 1 species
AUGAACGCUAGCUACAGGCUUAACACAUGCAAGUCGAGGGGCAGCAUGGUCUUAGCUUGCUAAGGCCGAUGGCGACCGGCGCACGGGUGAGUAACACGUAUCCAACCUGCCGUCUACUCUUGGACAGCCUUCUGAAAGGAAGAUUAAUACAAGAUGGCAUCAUGAGUCCGCAUGUUCACAUGAUUAAAGGUAUUCCGGUAGACGAUGGGGAUGCGUUCCAUUAGAUAGUAGGCGGGGUAACGGCCCACCUAGUCUUCGAUGGAUAGGGGUUCUGAGAGGAAGGUCCCCCACAUUGGAACUGAGACACGGUCCAAACUCCUACGGGAGGCAGCAGUGAGGAAUAUUGGUCAAUGGGCGAGAGCCUGAACCAGCCAAGUAGCGUGAAGGAUGACUGCCCUAUGGGUUGUAAACUUCUUUUAUAAAGGAAUAAAGUCGGGUAUGGAUACCCGUUUGCAUGUACUUUAUGAAUAAGGAUCGGCUAACUCCGUGCCAGCAGCCGCGGUAAUACGGAGGAUCCGAGCGUUAUCCGGAUUUAUUGGGUUUAAAGGGAGCGUAGAUGGAUGUUUAAGUCAGUUGUGAAAGUUUGCGGCUCAACCGUAAAAUUGCAGUUGAUACUGGAUAUCUUGAGUGCAGUUGAGGCAGGCGGAAUUCGUGGUGUAGCGGUGAAAUGCUUAGAUAUCACGAAGAACUCCGAUUGCGAAGGCAGCCUGCUAAGCUGCAACUGACAUUGAGGCUCGAAAGUGUGGGUAUCAAACAGGAUUAGAUACCCUGGUAGUCCACACGGUAAACGAUGAAUACUUGCUGUUUGCGAUAUACUGCAAGCGGCCAAGCGAAAGCGUUAAGUAUUCCACCUGGGGAGUACGCCGGCAACGGUGAAACUCAAAGGAAUUGACGGGGGCCCGCACAAGCGGAGGAACAUGUGGUUUAAUUCGAUGAUACGCGAGGAACCUUACCCGGGCUUAAAUUGCAGAUGAAUUACGGUGAAAGCCGUAAGCCGCAAGGCAUCUGUGAAGGUGCUGCAUGGUUGUCGUCAGCUCGUGCCGUGAGGUGUCGGCUUAAGUGCCAUAACGAGCGCAACCCUUGUUGUCAGUUACUAACAGGUUCCGCUGAGGACUCUGACAAGACUGCCAUCGUAAGAUGUGAGGAAGGUGGGGAUGACGUCAAAUCAGCACGGCCCUUACGUCCGGGGCUACACACGUGUUACAAUGGGGGGUACAGAGGGCCGCUACCACGCGAGUGGAUGCCAAUCCCCAAAACCUCUCUCAGUUCGGACUGGAGUCUGCAACCCGACUCCACGAAGCUGGAUUCGCUAGUAAUCGCGCAUCAGCCACGGCGCGGUGAAUACGUUCCCGGGCCUUGUACACACCGCCCGUCAAGCCAUGGGAGCCGGGGGUACCUGAAGUGCGUAACCGCGAGGAGCGCCCUAGGGUAAAACUGGUGACUGGGGCU